rnacentral:rRNA from 1 species
UACAGAGGUCCCAAGCGUUGUUCGGAUUCACUGGGCGUAAAGGGUGCGUAGGUGGUGAGGUAAGUCGGAUGUGAAAGCUCGGAGCUCAACUCCGAAAUGGCAUUGGAAACUACCUCGCUCGAGGGUUGGAGGGGGGACUGGAAUACUUGGUGUAGCAGUGAAAUGCGUAGAUAUCAAGUGGAACACCAGUGGCGAAGGCGAGUCCCUGGACAACUCC